rnacentral:rRNA from 1 species
GAGUUUGAUCUUGGCUCAGAUUGAACGCUGGCGGCAUGCCUUACACAUGCAAGUCGAACGGCAGCACGGGAGCUUGCUCCUGGUGGCGAGUGGCGAACGGGUGAGUAAUGCAUCGGAACGUAUCCUGGAGUGGGGGAUAACGUAGCGAAAGUUACGCUAAUACCGCAUAUUCUGUGAGCAGGAAAGCGGGGGACCUUCGGGCCUCGCCGCUCUUAGGAGCGGCCGAUGUCGGAUUAGCUAGUUGGUGGAGGUAAAAGGCUCACCAAGGCGACGAUCCGUAGCAGGUCUGAGAGGAUG